CGGGGGGCAGCAGUAAGGAAUAUUGGUCAAUGGACGCAAGUCUGAACCAGCUAUGCCGCGUGAAGGAUUAAGGUCCUCUGGAUUGUAAACUUCUUUUAUCUGGGACGAAAAAAGGUCUUUCUAGAUCACUUGACGGUACCAGAUGAAUAAGCACCGGCUAACUCCGUGCCAGCAGCCGCGGUAAUACGGAGGGUGCAAGCGUUAUCCGGAUUCACUGGGUUUAAAGGGUGCGUAGGCGGGCAGGUAAGUCAGUGGUGAAAUCCUGGAGCUCAACUCCAGAACUGCCAUUGAUACUAUCUGUCUUGAAUAUUGUGGAGGUAAGCGGAAUAUGUCAUGUAGCGGUGAAAUGCUUAGAUAUGACAUAGAACACCCAUUGCGAAGGCAGCUUACUACGCAUAUAUUGACGCUGAGGCACGAAAGCGUGGGGAUCAAACAGGAUUAGAUACCCGAGU
rnacentral:rRNA from 1 species